GAAUCAGAGUCAUCUAUCGAGAGAAACUGAGUUAUACAACGGCCAUUGUCAGUGUUUCUAUUCGAGCUUAAAUUUUUCUGGUAUCGUCUGCUCUGUUCGUUUCCUUUAUCACUGUUGUAAUUGGCUGUGGAAGUUUUCAAACGUGUUUCCUGAUUUGUGCACUUAUCACACACCCGCUGGAGGCUCUGACUAAAUUGAUCCGCUAUUUCCGAAAUUAGACACAACGACAGACGAUUUCCCCCAUGACUGUUUUCAAAUGGUAGUCGGAAACGUUUUAAGAAUAAGCCAGUCUUCUGUUUCAAGGGCUGUCAACAAUGUUUCAUUGGCACUCUCUAUUAUAUCUAGAAACUAUGUAUCGUUUCCAGAUGAUCUUGUUAAGGCAAGUGCAGCGUAAUAUCACACCAAGUUUGAUGGAAAACUUUACCUUAAUGUUUACUAGGUAAAACGAGAUUUUCAAAAUGUCGGCAGAAUGCCAGGUGUGGUAGGAUGUAUUGAUGGGACUCACGUACGCAUUGUGCGACCGGUCAAUUUUAAAAGGCCUAUGUCAACAGGAAAAAUUACCACUCUAUCAAUGUUCAAGGAAUUUGUGAUGCCGACUGCCGUUAUUUAUCGAUCAACGCAACGAAGCCUGGCCUGUCAGGACUCUACGAUAUUCAAAGCCUGCGUGAUUGGAAAAAAUUUGCUAACGGAUUAUUCGGUCAUGGUUUCCUUCUUGGGGACAGUGGGUUUGGCUGUUCAACGUAUCUCAUAACUCCUUCAUCAGAAGAUGGUGCUGAAGACGAGCUAGAGCCAUCACCAAGUAUUUCGAUACGUUCUGUUGACGAAUUCACUGAUGAAUGACGACUGGGUGCAUCACUAUGAUCUGAUGUUCCAUAAUUUGCCACAGUGCAAACCGCAGUACUCGCAGCAUCCCUGGAAUCCGACGGCUUUACAAUGAGGAGAGGGGAAGACACAGCAUCAACAACAGCUGCCCUACGUUUCUUUGCUUCAGUGCGCCCAUCUCUUCCUCUUUUUUCAAGAUCAUUGCUAACCACCUGUUCACCAUUAAUUGCAUUCUUCAAUCGGUCUUGUGCUCCUUUGUAAGUGUCUGAAAAUAAAUGAAAAAUAAGGAUAAA